CUGGAAAAUCCUAACGGCACUCUUCCCGCAAGGAAUAACAUCCGAAACUCUCCAAUCACAAAAGGUAAGCACCUCACCAGUCGUGACAAUGUAAAGUGCCCAGCGAAUUAUUCCAAAAAAAAAAAAAAAA
rnacentral:sRNA from 1 species